rnacentral:lncRNA from 10 species
CUCAGUCGCGCGAAGCCAGAGAGGACCCUGGGCGUGAUUCUCCCUCCCUGGCACAGACGGAGACCCGAGUGACCCCGGGGUCCGGGUGGGCGUGGGGAAUGGACCCAUAGACCCGGGACGAGCGGCGCGGAGCCCGCAGCUGGCCAGCUUCAGCCACCUUGGGAGACGCAGUGCAGCUGCCGCUGCUGACAGACAAGACCAAGGCUCGGCUGGGCCCCACCCCAGAUCCGGCCUGAGCGCCUUCCGCGCUGCUCGGCCUCAAGGCGUGAGUCACCAAGGGCAAGUCCCGUGACUUGGUCCUCAGGGUCUCCGGCCUCGGCACAUUAAUCUUCAGACCCGGCUUUUUCGACGCCGAGCUGCCGCCCAGCCCCAAUGGCAGGGCCUUCCAGGGAGUCCCAGUCAGACUGCUCCCCAGCUCCCGCAGCUGCUCGGUCCCUGCAAAGCCCCCGGGAGCGUUUCUACUCUCCCCUGAGCCCACGCCAUCCCGUCACUCCUAGGAAACUUUUCGCGCAGAAACUCCUGGAGAACAGCCCCGGCCGCCAGGUACUCGCCCGCCCGGACCGCAAAGCCCACAGAGCUUCAAUUCGCAGGAAGGGGAGUGGGGAGCCCUGAGCUGGGGUGUUCCUGGAAGAGGUCGGGGAGCGGGGGGAGAGGCAUUCCAGGCUGGAGGCCUGGAAACGUUUGGAAGCUUUGCUAACCUUGGAGACCAUGUCAGGAAAGAAGCGUACCCAGGCCGUCUGCUGUGUGCCCACCCCGAUCCCCAUCAGUGCCCCACGCACUCGAGCUCUUCUUCGGCGUCUGCAGCCUCUUCAUCCGCGCGGAGAGGCGGAGGUCUCCCGGAAACAGUGUCCGACUGUGGCACCCCAGAGCGUCCAAUGCGAGCUCAGGCCUUUCCCGCAAGUCUGGAGUUUUCUUAUCCAGUUGAGGCCGCCUUCGCUGUACUCACUCUCUGCCUCCCACCCCAUCUUCUGCCACCCGACCUCCAUCUUUGAUGGUUAGCGCCUUCAGCCCUCAACAGCUUCGCACAACCAACCCCUAGAAGCCGUGGAGUCAGACCGGCCAGGGUGGGACCUAGGUUUUAACUCGGGUUCUGGCUACACACGCUGCGCCUCCAUACAGUUUGUCCCAGGUUUGGCAGCAGGCCGGCUACCUUCAGGAAUUCUUUGCUUUGGCUUCUGUCUGUUCCUGUCUGUUGGGCAAGUUUCUAGCUACCCCACUGAGAGAACCAUAGAACAAGGACCCUGGCAUGGCAUACAGACAAGGAAUGUUUGCUGAAUUAAUGGAGCUGGUGCCUUGCAGCUUCCCUUUUGUUCCUUGAAGUUGCCCUUGCUCUCCUCCACAUCAGCUCCCUCUCCUCCUCAGCUACUUAUUCCCCACCCUGGCUUCUUCUAGUCGCAGUCCCCAAGUACUUGCUGAAUCCUGUAUGGACAGCCUAAGCCUCCAUUUCUGACAAUUCCUGUGGCCCCACUCCAUUUGUUUUUUAGACUUCUCCCUCCUUUUUGUCCCCAUCCCCCAAGUUAUAAAACUAUAAUGCAA